AACGUAGGUCACAAGCGUUGUCCGGAAUUACUGGGUGUAAAGGGAGCGCAGGCGGGAGAACAAGUUGGAAGUGAAAUCCAUGGGCUCAACCCAUGAACUGCUUUCAAAACUGUUUUUCUUGAGUAGUGCAGAGGUAGGCGGAAUUCCCGGUGUAGCGGUGGAAUGCGUAGAUAUCGGGAGGAACACCAGUGGCGAAGGCGGCCUACUGGGCACCAACUGACGCUGAGGCUCGAAAGUGUGGGUAGCAAACAGG
rnacentral:rRNA from 3 species